GGUAAUGAAGAUAGAAAUCUCUGCAGGCAAAACAAAACAACAGUGCUUAGGCGAUGGAGGAAAUCGUUCUAGGUUUCGGCGGCCGCCUAGGCGGGCUCGGCACUGGGCGUCGAUUUAUAAUAUUUUCAACCCAGACAUAUUUCUUCUCUCUCGCCAUCUGUCUCUCCUCCAAUCUGUCCUUAGGUCGGUGAAGACUCGGAAGGAACUGGUUUGCACUUCAUCUUCUGAAAGGAGCUGGAGUUCGAUGGAGAGCGAGACUUGAAAGGAUAUGGACAUGAAUAUUAGGGAAAUGGUUUGCACCUCAUCUUCUUAAAUUUCCAGAGUUCUUCCAGUCUUCAUCUAGUCUAUAGUACUGUUCUAGUCCUCUAGUUUAUGAUAAGUGUUUUGGUAUUUCUAAUAGUCAUCAAGAGUUCUUUUUGAAGCCUACAGUGAGGCUGUUUCUCAAAACAAUGAACCUUGGUCUCUUAUCGGAGAUUUCAGUAAUAUUUGCGAACUGAGGAGAAAAUUGGGGGUAGAUUCUUUUCUCUGGUGUAUUAACAGUAUUAUACAUGUUUGCUUCAUGCAGGAUUAACAGAGUCUAUGAGUUGUCUUUCUUUAAUAAGGUUAGAGUAUCUGGUAUCCCUGAGUAUCUCCUAUUUUUUGGCUGUGAUUGUAGACAUCUUGGAGAUGACUUAGGUAAUUCAUAAAAGUUCUGCAGUGGGAAUUAAAUGUCGUUGAGAAGGAUAAGGAUGCAUUAGUUGAGGACUUUUCUAAGGACGACUACAAUGACAUGGUGGAUGGAAGGCAAAGCUGGUUAGGACCAACUCUGGAGAGCAUAAGUGGGGGGCCCUCUUCACUGCCAAGAAUAAAUGGUUGUGAUACCUCAAGUUUUGCAUAUGCUGCAAUAUUGUACUCGAGUUAGAUAUGCAUUUUAGAUAAACAUUGUAUUAAGUUGCUAGUGUGUUGUGCUUUAGAAGGUCUUAUCUUAAACUAUGACGCUAUCCUAUUAUUGUUUGAACUUUUUCCGUCUAUAAUAAUGGAAUUGGGGUUUGUCUUUGCUCA